rnacentral:lncRNA from 1 species
CACAAGCAACCAGGUCUCCGCAGACAGUCAGAGAAGGGUCAGGGGCCACCGGGGUCACCCUCCUGGUCUUCCCCAUCGUCGUCGACCUGCUUGCAGCCUUCCUCAUCUACAAGCACGCCCCAUGCAGGCUGGCUCCUGACAACACAACCUAAAGGCAGAGCUGUGCCCACGUCAUGCAUCCUUCGUUACUCUGUGACAACCCAAGACUCCAGUGCUUUUCUCUGCCUCGCUCUCCCUUACCUGCAGCCCCUCCAAGGAGCCUGAAGAGGCAGCAGCAGCCCAGGCUGGCCUUACACUCAGUGAUCCUCCUGCUUCUGCCUCCUGAGUGCUGGGAUCACAGGCGAAUGCACCGUGCCCAGCAGAUAAGACGUUUUAAAUUGAUUCAGGACACCGAGGCAGCCAUGACUGUGCAGCUACAGACACUCAUGAAAGAGGACUCCAGAGCUGCCUCAGGAAGUGGAGAGAACCUGCGGUGUUUGACGUGGACGGGGAGAAUUCUGAGGGGAUUAAAGGCGAUGCG